rnacentral:tRNA from 1 species
GCCGGUGUAGCUCAGGCGGUAGAGCAACUGAUUCGUAAUCAGUAGGUCCGCAGUUCAAAUCUGCGCACCGGCA